CCAUUAUUGUCUGGACAGCAGCGGGAUGGCCCUUCCAGCACCUCCCCUGCAGAGCACAAGAGAGGAAACUGUGACACACAGCAGGGCGGCCCCAGCAAGGUGUCCCAGGUCAUCCAGGACAUGGCAAUGAGGAUGCUCCACAUGGCUCAGUUCCUGAGGAAGAAGGGCCCCAUCGCGGUACGCAGCAUUCCACCCCUCCACUUCUCCCUCAGGAUCACAAAGCCCAUCCCAAAUCCCUGUGUCACCCCAUUCUCAGGAGAGAGGCACCAGCUCUACUUAUGCAAAAUACUCAAAAUGCCUUCCUCUUGGUUAGAUGUGAGCUUGGCAUCCCAUCCUUUCCUCGUUCCAGGAUGCAUCUGGGCCUCAUGUAUCCUUCCCUGUCCUGCAGGAAAAGCUUUUUCCUCCUUCCCUCCCCAGUCCCAUUGAUUUUUAUCCCGUUUUAGAGCAAGGAGCAGUUUGUUGCCUGUGCCAGGCAAAUCGCUUCCGACGGGCAGGUGGUUGUCAGAUUUGGGCACAUCCUUGCCAAGCAGUGCCCGGACCAGAGAUGCUCCACGGAGCUGCUCCGCGCCUCCGAGCACACCCACACCCUCAGCAGCCAGCUCAGCAUCGUGGCCAGGGUGAAAGCAGUGACUGGGGAGAGCAAGGCCUCCUCGGAGCUGCUCCUGAGCAACGCGCAGAACCUGGUGCGAGCGGUGCGGCACCUCCUGGGCGCGGCCGAGGCGGCCUCUGUCAAAGGUUUGGGACAACCCUCAUCUGACCCUGAAGCAGAAGAAGUUGCUGCUUUUUGCCUGCAGUGGAAGAAAAACCUGUCGUGGCACAGAGCCAAGGAGGCUUUAAAUUCCAACAGGGAUGAGUUAGGGCUCCGCAAGACUCGGGAAGCAAAGGCGGAGCCCACCCUGAUGGCUGGGGUGCAAGAACCACCCCCUCAGACCAGGAAUAUCCCAAAGCAUCCCAGUCCCAGGAAAGGACACACAGCUAUGGACAGACACCUGUAAAACCAGGGAGGGGCUUCUCAUCCUGAUGGCGUUGGAGUAUUUGCAAGAUGAAGGAUUCGUGUUGGAGCGUUUCCAUUGUGGCAGGAAAAUCUUGGAAGAGGCUCCGUGGGGAGGCCAGGAAUGUUCUGGUGAGUGUUUUACCCACAGGGCAGCAAACACCAGGUGGUGACACAGGCUGGACAGGGCUUGGAGCAACCUGCUCCAGUGGGAGGUGUCCCUGCCCAUGGCAGGGGUGG